rnacentral:rRNA from 1 species
GAUAUGGCUCAGGAUGAACGCUAGCUACAGGCUUAACACAUGCAAGUCGAGGGGCAGCAUGGACCCAGCUUUGCUGGGUUUGAUGGCGACCGGCGCACGGGUGAGUAACGCGUAUCCAACCUGCCCUUUACUCCGGGAUAGUCUCCUGAAAGGGAGUUUAAUACCGGAUGUGUUUGUCUUUCCGCAUGGGAGCGACAAAUAAAGAUUGAUUGGUAAAGGAUGGGGAUGCGUCCCAUUAGCUUGUUGGG